rnacentral:rRNA from 1 species
UGGAAUUGGGCGUCAAAGAGGGUGACAWCCCCGUUUGUAACCGAAUUAUCCAUCCAUGUGAAACCCUUUCGACGAGUCKAGUUGUUUGGGAAUGCAGCUCAAAAUGGGUGGUAGACUUCAUCUAAAGCUAAAUAUCAGCCAGAGACCGAUAGCGCACAAGUAGAGUGAUCGAAAGAUGAAAAGCACUUUAGAAAAGAGAGUCAAACAGCACGUGAAAUUGUUGAAAGGGAAGCGCUUGCAACCAGACUUGCUCGCAGUGCUCAGCUCCUCGAAAGAGUAGUGUAUUCGCUGCGUUUGCAGGCCAGCAUCGGUUUCGACGGUUGGACAAAAACUUAGGGAAAGUGACUUCCUCCGGGAAGUGUUAUAGCCCGAGUAAAAUGCAACCAGUCGAGACCGAGGAACGCGCUUCGUGCUCGGAUGCUGGCGUAAUGGUUGUCAGCGACCCGUCUUGAAACACGGACCAAGGAGUCGACCAAUUGUGCGAGCGUUAGGGUGUAAAACCCACAACGCGCAAUGAAAGUAAACGUAGGUGGGAAGCUUUGCGCACCAUCGACCGAUCCGAGUUCGCGAGGAUUUGAGUAUGAGUAUCAUUGGUCGGACCCGAAAGUUCGUGACCCCUUUUUCUUUUCCCCUUUCUCUACUCCUUUAUUCAUGGGGGCAAGCCCCCAAACCCCCGGCCUCGCUUCGCUCGAACGUACACUAACAAAUUCAACAGGAAGGUGAACUAUUCUCGGAUAGGUUGAAGUCAGGGGAAACCCUGAUGGAAGACCGCAGCGGUUCUGACGUGCAAAUCGAUCGUCAAAUCUGGGAAUAGGGGCGAAAGACUAAUCGAACCUUCUAGUAGCUGGUUUCUGUCGAAGUUUCCCUCAGGAUAGCAGCAACGAUAAACAGUCUCAUGAGGUAGAGCAACGAUUAGAGGCCUUGGGGUUGUAACAACCUUAACCUAUUCUCGAACUCGGAAUAUGUGAGAAGUCCUCGUUACUUUAU